rnacentral:rRNA from 1 species
GACGAACGCUGCGGCGUGCUUAACACAUGCAAGUCGAACGGAAAGGCCCUGCUUUUGUGGGGUGCUCGAGUGGCGAACGGGUGAGUAACACGUGAGUAACCUGCCCUUGACUUUGGGAUAACUUCAGGAAACUGGGGCUAAUACCGGAUAGGAGCUCCUGCUGCAUGGUGGGGGUUGGAAAGUUUCGGCGGUUGGGGAUGGACUCGCGGCUUAUCAGCUUGUUGGUGGGGUAGUGGCUUACCAAGGCUUUGACGGGUAGCCGGCCUGAGAGGGUGACCGGCCACAAUGGGACUGAGAUACGGCCCAGACUCCUACGGGAGGCAGCAGUGGGGAAUAUUGCACAAUGGGCGGAAGCCUGAUGCAGCAACGCCGCGUGCGGGAUGACGGCCUUCGGGUUGUAAACCGCUUUCGCCUGUGACGAAGCGUGAGUGACGGUAAUGGGUAAAGAAGCACCGGCUAACUACGUG